rnacentral:rRNA from 1 species
GACGAACGCUGGCGGCGUGUCUAAUACAUGCAAGUAGAACGCUGAAGGAGGAGCUUGCUUCUCUGGAUGAGUUGCGAACGGGUGAGUAACGCGUAGGUAACCUGCCUGGUAGCGGGGGAUAACUAUUGGAAACGAUAGCUAAUACCGCAUAACAGUAGAUAUCGCAUGAUAUCUACUUGAAAGGUGCAAUUGCAUCACUACCAGAUGGACCUGCGUUGUAUUAGCUAGUUGGUGAGGUAACGGCUCACCAAGGCGACGAUACAUAGCCGACCUGAGAGGGUGAUCGGCCACACUGGGACUGAGACACGGCCCAGACUCCUACGGGAGGCAGCAGUAGGGAAUCUUCGGCAAUGGACGGAAGUCUGACCGAGCAACGCCGCGUGAGUGAAGAAGGUUUUCGGAUCGUAAAGCUCUGUUGUAAGAGAAGAACGAGUGUGAGAGUGGAAAGUUCACACUGUGACGGUAUCUUACCAGAAAGGGACGGCUAACUACGUG